GAUGAACGCUGGCGGCGUGCCUAAUACAUGCAAGUCGAGCGAACAGAUGAGGAGCUUGCUCCUCUGACGUUAGCGGCGGACGGGUGAGUAACACGUGGAUAACCUACCUAUAAGACUGGGAUAACUUCGGGAAACCGGAGCUAAUACCGGAUAAUAUAUUGAACCGCAUGGUUCAAUAGUGAAAGACGGUUUUGCUGUCACUUAUAGAUGGAUCCGCGCCGCAUUAGCUAGUUGGUAAGGUAACGGCUUACCAAGGCGACGAUGCGUAGCCGACCUGAGAGGGUGAUCGGCCACACUGGAACUGAGACACGGUCCAGACUCCUACGGGAGGCAGCAGUAGGGAAUCUUCCGCAAUGGGCGAAAGCCUGACGGAGCAACGCCGCGUGAGUGAUGAAGGUCUUCGAAUUGUAAAACUCUGUUAUUAGGGAAGAACAAAUGUGUAAGUAACUAUGCACGUCUUGACGGUACCUAAUCAGAAAGCCACGGCUAACUACGUG
rnacentral:rRNA from 1 species